UACGUAGGGUGCAAGCGUUGUCCGGAAUUAUUGGGCGUAAAGAGCUCGUAGGCGGUCUGUCGCGUCUGCUGUGAAAACUCAGGGCUUAACCCUGAGCUUGCAGUGGGUACGGGCAGACUAGAGUGCGAUAGGGGAGACUGGAAUUCCUGGUGUAGCGGUGAAAUGCGCAGAUAUCAGGAGGAACACCGGUGGCGAAGGCGGGUCUCUGGGCCGUAACUGACGCUGAGGAGCGAAAGCAUGGGGAGCGAACAGG
rnacentral:rRNA from 1 species